rnacentral:rRNA from 1 species
GACGAACGCUGGCGGCGUGCUUAACACAUGCAAGUCGAACGGAAAGGCCCUGCUCUUGUUGGUUGCUCGAUUGGCGCACGCGUGUGUAACACGUGUGUAACCUCCCCUUGUCUUUCUGAUAACUUCAGGAAACUCCGGCUCAUACCGCAUAUGAGCUCCUGCUCCAUGUUGUUCGUUGGAAAGUUUCGGCGGUUGGGGAUGGACUCGCUGCUUAUCAGCUUGUUGGUGUGGUAGUGGCUUACCAAGGCUUCGACGGGUAGCCGGCCUGAGAGGGUGACCGGGGACAAGGGGACUGAGAGAGGGCGCAGAAUCGUACGGGAGGCAGUAGGGGGGAAUAUGGCACAGUAGGGGGAAGCGAGAUGCGGCAACGCCGGGUGCGGGAUGAUGGCCUACGAGUUGUAAACAGAUGUGGAAGGUGACGAAGAGUGAGUGACGGUAAUGAGUAAAGAAGCAACGGCUAACUACGUG